rnacentral:rRNA from 1 species
AUUGAACGCUGGCGGCAGGCCUAACACAUGCAAGUCGAACGAGUGGCGGACGGGUGAGUAAUGUCUGGGAAACUGCCUGAUGGAGGGGGAUAACUAAUGGAAACGGUAGAUAAAACCGCAUACCAUCGGAUGUGCCCAGAUGGGAUUAGCUAGUAGGUGGGGUAAAGGCUCACCUAGGGGACGAUCCCUAGCUGGUCUGCGAGGAUGACCAGCCACACGGGAACUGGGACACGGUCCAGACUCCUACGGGAGGCAGCAGUGGGGAAUAUUGCACAAUGGGCGCAAGCCUGAUGCAGCCAUGCCGCGUGUAUGAAGAAGGCCUUCGGGUUGUAAAGUACUUUCAGCGGGGAGGCGUUACCCGCAGAAGAAGCACCGGCUAACUCCGGGCCAGCCGCCGCGGUAAUAC